AAAAAUCCCGGUAAACCGAAUCCUUGAAAGGAUCAGUCCUCUUGCUGAGGUGGUACUAAAAAGUACCGGCUACAAGGUACUGUUCCCAGUGGAAAAAAACUCAAAAGUGAACCGUACCGUGCCGUACCAUGCAGUGAAAGCGCCUUUUAGAGAACAUUCAAACGGAGCGCGAGAUCAACGGACAAGUAACGAAUGAACAUCAGCACAUGGUUCAACAAUCUUGAGGAUGGAUCACAUCAAGUCCUUUUGCAGUUGUAUCCGUCAAAGAAAUACACAUACAAAAUGGAAAUGACUUUCAAAUUGCAGAGCUUGGACAAAGUUAGCACACAGGUUUUGAAGAGGAAUUCAUCAAGGACAUAGUCUCAGGCUCAAGACGUCACACACAAGUGCAAACAGUUCAGUCGCCGUAUUGGUUGAAUUAUAUAGGAUUUCCAGGAGACGUGCGUCUUGCAUUCUUUAACGUUCCGCCUGGAAACAAAGAUGCUGUGACGCCAAAACUUCAUAAAAGAAGAAAGCCAUCGUGUUUACAGACGUGGUUCGGAGUGGCCCCACUGGGUGGAUUUUUUUCAUGUGGAGAGAUGAUGAAGGAUAUUAUAUUCGCC